GAGAACCUCGUCCUGACAUGAGCAAAGUCAAAGGCCCGAUUCUUUUAGAUCGGAUGGGAGGAGAGGCCUUACAAUGCCCUAAUGUGCCCCUACAGCCAUGUCAGGAACAGGAGGAGAACCUCGUCCUGACGUGAGCAAAGUCGAAGGUCCGAUUCUUUUAGACCGGACGGGGGGAGAGACCCUUGCAAUGGCCCUUAUGUGCCCCCAUGGUCCCGUUGGGAACAGGAGGAGAACCUUGUCCUGACGGUGACGAAACCCGACCACCUGACAAGAUCGGAUGAAGGAGAAAAGCCCCCCAGCAACACCUUCACACUCCUACGCAACCCCACAAAAAGUGAGGGGAGGGCCCUCACUCUGAAAAGAGGAGAGAAAUUAAAGAGGAAGAGCUACAAGCUAUGUCGGAAACAGAUGAAGGACAAACCACACCAAAGACCUAAGGAACCUCGUCUCAACAAAGACGGGAAGUUCCUACCAAACACCCCCGGCCUCUAAGAAGGCUCUCGACACAGGUCAAGAAGAUAGCGACGUCUCCG
rnacentral:lncRNA from 1 species